CGGGAGGGCGGGAUGGGCUGGUGACUGAGCUUGUGCAGGACACGGUCGCAGACGCACCAGCAACACCGUGUCUUCAACCGCCAGCACUCUCACCCAGAGGAGCGCUGGAAGAGGGGAACGCACACAGAGCCCCCGAGACCGCAGCCUGCUGGGAGCCGGGUCCGUGUGGACCGGCUAGGAAACCCGGGGCCUCAGGGGAGCUCGGAAUCAAAGUGAAGCUAGAGACGGAAGUGAAGCUUCUCGGAGGAAAGGAACGUGCUCACUGUGAAGUUCCCUGUAGCAUCCCGUGACAAAGUAUAGCACUGAAACCGGAAACAUGGGCGGAGUGGUGAGCCCCAAAGGCGCCAGGAAGCAGAGCCCUGCGGCAACGUCUUGACAGUUUCUGCAGCGUUGUGUUUGGUUGAUUUCCAUGAAAAACUCCUUGUGCCGGACUCAGUCCGGUGGCGUCGGGAACCAGCAGAGGGAGCCCCGCCCCGCUGAUGUGGGAGCCUCCCCGCGGUGCCGCGCCUCGCCCGUACAGUUAUCCGCUGAGGGAGGCGUGGGCCGGGAACACUGGCCGCAUUGAUGGGCUGCAGGGCAUCCAAGGUAAGCCUGUCACAUUUUCCAAGGGGACCUCCCGGGAAGGAGGAAGCCCGGGAACGUGCACAGCCAACCCAGGAGCAGCUGAGAGCAGUGUUUUAUCAACAAAGGGUUGUCCUGAAGUGGAUAGCACCGCCUGUGCGAGGAGAGAUCCUGAAUGGGAAGGAAUACUUAUCUUUGGAACUCUGAAACUUUCUCUUUUCUUCAACACCUCACAUGCUAUUAAGAAAUGAGGCCCUAACUUGGGAAUUAUCUGACGUUUAUUAUGUCUAAAAACUUCAAAAAGGAAGCAAGAGCGGGCGCAUGCCCUUGGCUCUGACGUCUUCGCGUCCGUGCCAUCCCCCGUCCGCUCUUCAGGUGACCGGCGCGUCCGGAGCUGCCCGUGCUGCUGGGGCGAGGCCGGUUUCCCGGGAGCACGUCUCAGCAUCAGACCCUCUGUUUGUUUCUAUAAUAAAGCUUCUCCAGGCGGAAGCACAAGAGAAAUAUGUUCAUUAAAAUAAAGGAGAAAAAUUAC